GACGAACGCUGGCGGCGUGCCUAAUACAUGCAAGUCGAGCGCAGGAAACUGACGGAACUCUUCGGAGGGAAGGCAGUGGAAUGAGCGGCGGACGGGUGAGUAACACGUAAGGAACCUGCCUCAAGGAUUGGGAUAACUCCGAGAAAUCGGAGCUAAUACCGGAUAGUUCAUCGGACCGCAUGGUCCGUUGAUGAAAGGCGCUCCGGCGUCACCUUGAGAUGGCCUUGCGGUGCGUUAGCUAGUUGGUGGGGUAACGGCCCACCAAGGCGACGAUGCAUAGCCGACCUGAGAGGGUGAUCGGCCACACUGGGACUGAGACACGGCCCAGACUCCUACGGGAGGCAGCAGUAGGGAAUCUUCCACAAUGGACGAAAGUCUGAUGGAGCAACGCCGCGUGAGUGAUGAAGGUUUUCGGAUCGUAAAACUCUGUUGUAAGGGAAGAACACGUACGAGAGGAAAUGCUCGUACCUUGACGGUACCUUACGAGAAAGCCACGGCUAACUACGUGCCAGCCGCCGCGGUAA
rnacentral:rRNA from 1 species